GACGAACGCUGGCGGCGUGCUUAACACAUGCAAGUCGAACGGAAAGGCCCUGCUUUUGUGGGGUGCUCGAGUGGCGAACGGGUGAGUAACACGUGAGUAACCUGCCCUUGACUUUGGGAUAACUUCAGGAAACUGGGGCUAAUAUCGGAUAGGAGCUCCUGCUGCAUGGUGGGGGUGGGAAAGUUUCGGCGGUUGGGGAUGGACUCGCGGCUUAUCAGCGUGUUGGUGGGGUAGUGGCUUACCAAGGCUUUGACGGGUAGCCGGCCUGAGAGGGUGACCGGCCACAUUGGGACUGAGGUAGGGCCCAGAGGCCAACGGGAGGCAGCAGUGGGAAAUAUUGCACAAUGGGCGGAAGCCUGAUGCAGCAACGCCGCGUGCGGGAUGACGGCCUUUGGGUUGUAAACCGCUUGAGCCUGUGACGAAGCGUGAGUGACGGUAAUGAGUAAAGAAGCACCGGCUAACUACGUG
rnacentral:rRNA from 1 species